UACGAAGGGGGCUAGCGUUGCUCGGAAUCACUGGGCGUAAAGCGCACGUAGGCGGACUCUUAAGUCGGUGGUGAAAUCCUGGAGCUCAACUCCAGAACUGCCUUCGAUACUGAGAGUCUCGAGUCCGGGAGAGGUGAGUGGAACUGCGAGUGUAGAGGUGAAAUUCGUAGAUAUUCGCAAGAACACCAGUGGCGAAGGCGGCUCACUGGACCGGAACUGACGCUGAGGCGCGAAAGCGUGGGGAGCAAACGGGG
rnacentral:rRNA from 1 species